GUCAAUAGUUAAAUAGUUAGUUAAGUAAUUAUAGUUAGUUAAUUAGCAGUUUAGAUAUUUAUAAGAAUUAAUUAGUAAUAUAGAAUAUAAGAUAAAAUUUAGUUUAAAAUAGAAAUUAGAAUAGUUAACAUUUUCUAUGAUCCUUUAGGUAAUAUAUAGUUAUUUAGUAUACAUUUAGAUAAUAGACUGAGUAAUAGUUAGCCGAUUCUCUCUAUAUAUUAAAAUGGAUGAAGAUAUUGAAGUCUAUGAGGAUAUUAAAGCUUAUGAUAUAGAGAAUUGGGAACA
rnacentral:lncRNA from 1 species